AGUCCGGCGCCGGAUCGCGGUUGCCCAGCGCGCUGUGCCCUGCCGGGGGCGGGCCACGUUUGAUCUCCGGGCCCGCAGCAAGGGAUCGCGAAGGUAUUGAUCUAGGCGCUGCUGUGAAGGGAAUUUGCAGAUGUAAUUGGCCUAAAUCAGUUGGCUUUAAUAUCAGGAAAUUGUCCUCAGUGGGCAUGGCCAUAUGGAGCCCUUACAAGGGACUGGGCUCUUCCUGGUGAAAAAGAUUUGAAUCACGAGAGUGGCUGAUAUGAGGGAAAUUCUUUGCUGUUGCCUUCGAAGACAGAAGAGGUCCACAAGGCAAAGGAUGCAGACAGCCUGUAGGAGCUGAGACUGGCUCCUGGCUGACAGCCAGCAAGGAAAUGAGGACCUCAGUCCUCCAAUCAUGAAGCAGACUCCGACUUCUGCUAACAACCUGAAUACACUUCAAAGAGGAUUCUGAGCUCCAGCCGCCUACACAUUGAUUUCAGCUGUUGGGACCCUCAGCCGAGAACCCAGCUAUGCCGUGCCCAGAUGUAAGACCUACACAUCUGUGAGCUUGAUGCUUCCUGCCCUCAAACAUUGGACUCCCAGUUCUACAGUUUUGAGACUGGGACUGGCUCUCCUUGUUCCUCAAGCUUGCAGACAGCCUAUUGUGGGAUCUUGUGAUCGUACUCUCUGUGGCCCAGGCUGGAGUGCACUGGUGCCAUCUCGGCUCACUGCAACCUCUGCCUCCCGAGUUCAAGUGAUUCUCCUGCCUCAGCCUCCCGAGUAGCUGGGACUACACGUGCCUGCCACCACGCCUGGCUAAUUUUUGUAUUUUCAGUAGAGACGGGGGUUUCACCAUAUUGGCCCGGCUGGUCUCGAACUCUUGACCUUGUGAUCCACCCACCUCAGCCUCCCAAAGUGCUGGGAUUACAGGCAUUAGUCACCGUGCCUGGCCCAUAUCUAUUCUUUGGUAAAAUUUUUAUUCAAUUAUUUUUCCUAUUUUAGAAUUGAGUUGUUUACACACAUAUACAUUGUAUUUUCCUCUGGAUACAGAUAUGUCUUUUGCAAAUAUUUUCUUCCAGCCUAGACCUCAUCAUUUCAGUUUUUAAAUAAUGUGUUUUUUUUUUUUAAAAUAAAGCUUUGUAUUAGUCCAUCUUCACACUGCUGUAAAGAUACUACCAGCGACUGGGUAAUUAAUAAAGGAAAGCGGUUUAAUU
ensembl:lncRNA ST8SIA5-DT ST8SIA5 divergent transcript